rnacentral:rRNA from 1 species
UACGUAGGGUGCGAGCGUUGUCCGGAAUUAUUGGGCGUAAAGGGCUCGUAGGCGGUUUGUCGCGUCGGGAGUGAAAACACUGGGCUUAACUCAGUGCUUGCUUCCGAUACGGGCAGACUAGAGGUAUGCAGGGGAGAACGGAAUUCCUGGUGUAGCGGUGGAAUGCGCAGAUAUCAGGAGGAACACCGGUGGCGAAGGCGGGUCUCUGGGCAGUAACUGACGCUGAGGAGCGAAAGCGUGGGGAGCGAACAGG